rnacentral:rRNA from 1 species
UACGUAGGGUGCAAGCGUUGUCCGGAAUUAUUGGGCGUAAAGAGCUCGUAGGCGGUUUGUCGCGUCUGCUGUGAAAGUUCGGGGCUCAACCCCGGAACUGCAGUGGGUACGGGCAGUCUAGAGUGCGGUAGAGGAGACUGGAAUUCCUGGUGUAGCGGUGGAAUGCGCAGAUAUCAGGAGGAACACCAUUGGCGAAGGCGGGUUUCUGGGCCGCAACUGACGCUGAGGAGCGAAAGCGUGGGGAGCGAACAGG